AGAGAUGGGAGCUUGCUYCCAGAUUUUAGCGGCGGRCGGGUGAGUAACMCGUGGGCAACCUGCCCUGCMGACUGGGAUAAMUCCGGGAAACCGGAGSUAAUWCCGGGUAAUACAUCGCMCCGCMUGGUGCMAWGUUGAAARUUGGCUUUYUGAGCUAACACUGCAGGAUGGGCCCGCGGCGCAUUAGCUAGUUGGUAAGGUAAUGGCUUACCAAGGCRACGAUGCGUAGCCGACCUGAGAGGGUGAUCGGCCACACUGGGACUGAGACACGGCCCAGACUCCUACGGGAGGCAGCAGUAGGGAAUCUUCCGCAAUGGACGAAAGUCUGACGGAGCAACGCCGCGUGAGUGACGAAGGCCUUCGGGUCGUAAAGCUCUGUUGUUAGGGAAGAACAAGUACCGUUCGAAUAGGGCGGUACCUGAC
rnacentral:rRNA from 1 species